GAGGACUGAAAAGAGAGCCGAGGUGAUGAUGGAUGCCUGGAGGUACACGCCGAGCAUGCGGUACACCUUUGCGCCAUAGCCUUGGCCGCAAAGCGUCUCCAGGGACCCGCUUAACCCAGUCUGCAUGGGAACAAGACAGAUCAAAGUGAGUAAUUGUUAUUCUAGUCUUGGAGACAGAUCUAAGUGAUAGAAUGAAUGAUGGAGCAUAUGUCUAUGACGGGCAACUUAGUUGAGCAAUGGAGACUAUGGAGUGGUGGCAGUAAAAAUUGAAGAUGAUGGCAAAGGAGACCAAAGAAAAGAUGGGAGGGACGGCUAAAGAGACAGACGAAGACGUUUUUACAGAGCAUCUCCGGGCAGGUCGCUGGAGAUGAGGAGGAGGAGAAGCCUCCUUCCCCUAGAAUCAGAUCAAAUCAAUGGAGAAGAAGGAU